rnacentral:lncRNA from 1 species
CACAACUUUGUUUACUUAAACAAUUAAUUUGGAUAAUAUUUUCGGAUAAGAUUUUUAGGUUCCUACGUGUCAAUACUAUUCAUAUCGGAUAAGAUUUUCGGUUUCAAAUUUCAUAUAAAUUUCAGAUACAUUUCGAAAUUCAAAUUUCAGAUAAAUUUUAAAAUUUAAAUUUCAUUUGAAUUUCAAAUUUCAGAUAAGAUUUUCACCAUCUAAGAUUGCGCCACAUGUCAUAUCUAUCUGUUUAAAUUUUUCUAUAAAAUCAGAGGCUCAACUCAUACCUCCCACACCAGAUCUUCUCUACAUUUCC